rnacentral:misc_RNA from 1 species
CUGGUGAUCUCUGUUAUCUUGGAGGAGAGGUUGGGGUUAAAUGAUUCAGUCCUUUUUUUUUUUUUUACACACAUCGAAGCAAAAAAUUUAGUUUUUUUUUUUUCCCUUUAUUAUGCAGAUUUCAUUACACAGCGAAACCAGAAUUUACAAUUUUUUUUUUGGCCAAAAUUCUACUAAUACUGCAUCAUAUGCUAUAGACAAACAUAAUUAGUAAACUAGAACA